rnacentral:rRNA from 1 species
GUAGGUGGCAAGCGUUGUCCGGAAUUAUUGGGCGUAAAGCGCGCGCAGGCGGUUCUUUAAGUCUGAUGUGAAAGCCCACGGCUCAACCGUGGAGGGUCAUUGGAAACUGGAGAACUUGAGUACAGAAGAGGAAAGCGGAAUUCCACGUGUAGCGGUGAAAUGCGUAGAGAUGUGGAGGAACACCAGUGGCGAAGGCGGCUUUCUGGUCUGUAACUGACGCUGAGGCGCGAAAGCGUGGGGAGCAAACAGGAUUAGAUACCCUGGUAGUCCACGCCGUAAACGAUGAGUGCUAAGUGUUAGGGGGUUUUCCGCCCCCCUUAGUGCUGCAGCUAACGCAUUAAGCACUCCGCCCUGGGAGUACGGCCGCAAGGCUG